rnacentral:lncRNA from 1 species
ACGAGCUCUGUUGUGGAGAAAUCUCAUAAAAUUGUGGGUAGGGAUGAAAACAGAAAGGAGGUAAUAGAGUUGUUGAUGCAGUCAAGUACUCAAGAAAAUCUGUCAAAGGUUGUGAUUGUAGGCAUAGGGGGCUUAGGCAAGACCACCCUUGCCCAGUUGGUAUACAACGACCAACGGGUGGUAAGCUAUUUUAAUCUUAAAAUGUGGGUCUGUGUUUCCGAUGAUUUCGAUGUAAAAAUACUGGUUAGGAAUAUCAUAAAGUCUGCAACUAAUAGAGAUGUGGAAAACUUGGAGUUGGAUCAGUUGCAACAACGCCUUCACCGAAACUUAGAUGGAAAGAGGUAUUUGCUUGUGCUAGAUGAUGUCUGGAACGAGGAUGUAAGGAAAUGGGGUCAAUUAAUAACUUUGUUGCCUGUUGGAGCAACUGGGAGUAAAAUUUUGGUGACCACUCGAAGCACUAGAGUUGCAUCAGUUAUAGGAGUUGAUUCCCCAUAUAUCGUGGAAGGUCUUAAAGAUGAUGAGUCUUGGGAUUUGUUUGAAAGUCUUGCGUUUAAAAAGGAAGAAGAGAAAAUGCACCCAAACCUUGUAGCCAUAGGAAAAGAUAUUGUAAAGAUGUGCAAAGGAAUUCCUCUUGUCAUUGAAACUUUAGGCAGAACAUUGUACUUCAAAACCCAAGAAAGGGAUUGGUUGAGCAUUAGAAAUAAUAAAAAUCUGAUGUUGCUUGGAGAUGAAAGUAAUAUUUUGUCAGUUUUAAGGUUAAGUUAUGACAAUCUACCCACCCAUUUGAAACAAUGUUUUGUCUAUUGUACACUGUUUCCCAAAGAUUAUAGAAUUGAAAAAAAGUUGUUAGUAAAAUUAUGGAUGGCUCAAGGUUACCUUCAAGAGUCUGAUGAAAACAGAGAUUUAGAGGAUGUUGGUAAUCAAUAUUUUGAAGAUUUAUUGUCAAGGUCAUUGUUUCAAAAAGCUGAAAAUGAAAAUGCAAACAAUGUAUUAAGUUGUAAAGUGCAUGACUUAAUGCAUGAUCUUGCACAAUCCAUUGUAAAGUCUGAGAUUAUCAUUGUAACGAAUGAUGUGAAGAUUAUUCCAGAAAGAAUUCAUCAUGUGUCAUUAUUUAAUAAAUCCAAUGAAAUGCCUGAAGGUUUAAUGGGCAAACCCAUUAGGACCUUUGUUAUUGGCAAACCCGAUUGGAACCUUCGUACGGGCCCUUUCUAUGGUGAUUAUUACAGUACAGAUACAUUCAUCUCAAGCUUAAAAUAUUUACGGGUAAUGAAGGUGAGUUUCCGACCUCAUGAGGUUCCAACAUCUUUAGACAAACUAAGCCAUCUAAGAUAUCUUGAUCUUUCUCAUGGGUUGUUUAAAAACCUCCCAAGUGCUAUUACAAGAUUGAAGAAUUUACAGACAUUGAAGCUUUUUCGUUGUGAGAAUCUGAAAGAAUUGCCGAUAGAUACGAAAAAAUUGAUCAACCUGAGGCAUCUUGAGAUUGAUGAAUAUAAUCAAUUGACUUAUAUGCCACUUGGGUUGGGAGAAUUGACGUUGCUUCAAACCUUGCCUAUAUUCUGGGUAGGGAAUGAUAGUGGGGAAUCUAGGCACAUGGGUAGGUUGAGUGAACUGAAAUUCCUUAACAACCUCAGAGGAGAACUAGAAAUUAGAGGCCUUCCAAAUGCCAGGGGUAGUGAAGCAAAGGAAGCCAAUUUGGAGGAUAAACAGUACCUCGAUUGCUUGAGAUUACGUUGGGAGGAAGAAGAAGAAGAUACUGAGGAGAAUGAGGAGGCAGUGUCAGUGAUGGAAAGCCUGCAACCACAUCCCAAUCUGAAGGACCUCUCCAUACUAUUUUACAAAGGUGUGAGAUUCCCAAAUUGGAUGAUAAAUGAUGGAUUGGAUUUGCUGCUCCCAAACCUAGUCAGAAUUCAACUAUGGCGUUGUAUGGGAAGCCAAGUUCUCCCACCUUUUGGUCAACUCCCUUCCCUUCAAUAUCUACAUCUUGCCCAACUAUAUGAUGUGGAGUACAUGAUGGAUUACCCUUCACCAGCAAAGCCAUUCUUCCCACGUCUGAAGACACUCAGACUUUCCUAUUUGCCUAAUUUGGAGGGAUGGGGGAGGAGGGACGUAGCAGCAGAGCAAGCUCCUUCAUAUCCUCAUCUUGAGAAUCUAGAGCUGGAAAACAUCAGUAUGGAGCUAUGCUUACAUCUGAUCUCUGUCUCUUCUUCAUUGAAGUCUCUGCGUAUUUGCGGAAUAGAAGAGCUAAUAUCUCUGCCAAAGGAGCUUCAACAUGUUUCCACCCUACAAACUCUCAAAAUUGAGCAUUGCUAUGGUUUGGCAACUUUACCAGACUGGAUUGGCCGCCUCACAUCACUUACACAGCUUACCAUUAUAGCCUGCCCCAAAUUAACAUCACUGCCAGAAGAGAUGCGAUCCCUCCGCCAUCUACGCCAACUCCGGAUCUUCAGUUGUCCAGAUUUAUGGGAAAGAUGCCAAAGGGAAACUGGUGAAGAUUGGCCUAAGAUUUCUCAUAUUCCCGCAAUUGAUAUUCCCAGGGGAUAUUGAGGCUGAUUUGUGAAGCUUGCCUUCUCUUUUUAAGUGAAUGUGUCAUCCACAAUAUAUUUGAGGUAUGCAAUCCAACUUCUUGCUUCGUUUCUUGUAGUUUGCUGUGCUUUGUGUUACUUGUUCGCAGUUCCUAUAAAUUGUUUACCAAAAUGUCCUGUUACUCGGCGACUAUUUUACUGUUCAUAUUCAAAAGGGAUAAUGGUGUGGGGUGAACAUCUCACUUCUAAGUAUUGAAAAGUCAGAGUUGUUCAUACCCUAAUCUGCUGACACAAUGAGAUGUUCAAUUCCUUGAAAAAAAGUAUUUAAAUUUCCAUAUUCAUAAGUAUUAGACUUUGAUACUAUACCUGCCAUUAUUUAUUGCCCUAGCUUGUAAUUACUCAAUUAUGUGUCUAUAUAUGUGUUGUAUGUGUAAUCUAGCAAAUGCAAUUUUGACAAAGUGCGAAACUAGAUAUAGGAAAUAUUAACUUUGUUGUGUUCUCAAAUUUAUAUCUAAAAAAAUAAAUUUCUUUCUUGAUUAUAUAAUAAUGGCAAUUCUCAUGUAGGAAAAUUUUCUUUCCUGGCUACUCAAAAGCUUUGUUGAAUGCACCAUGGAUCUUCAUCAUUGAAAUCUCUAUCUAUCCGGGUAAAAAUGGUUUGAUAUCUCCGCAAGAACGGGGCCAAGACUUCUCAAUGGUUCUCAAGAAUUUAAAUAUUGUGGAUUGCAUAGAGAUGAUGAUCGUGCCUUGAAAUUCUAAGCACUUACAAGCUUGCAUCGUCUGUUUAUUCAAUUGAUGCCAAACUUGGUCUCUCUCGCAAAGGGGCUUCAAUCUGUUUCAAUGCUAAAAACUCUCAGAAUUUGGAGCUCUUCUGGUUUAGCAGUUGUACCAGAUUGGAUAGGCAGUUUCUCAUCAAUCAGCACUUACAGAGCUAAGCAUUAGAGGCUGCUCCAAAUUGAUGUCACUGUCAAAAGGGGUGAGAUACAUCAGCAAUCGAAAGCAAGUGAAGAACUAAGAUUUCUCAUGUUCCUAAUAUGGUUCAAUUGUUGGCUACUUCAUGAAGUACUAUGCAAUCAUCCACCCACGGGAAUAUUUUAGGUUCGCUAUUCAAAACCACCUCCUGCUUCUGAUGGCUUUAUUUCUUAUUGUUUUCAAGUCAUUUCUCUGGAGCAUGUGAAAUUUAAGAGGUCUUAAUCAUGUGAUACCCUAAUCUAUGGAGAUUCAUAAACUACAAAUGUCCACACUUAUUGGAAAAAUGACAAAAGGAAAAUAUGAAGAUUAGCCUUAGAUUUGUGUGUUCCCGAAACUGAUUUUGACUAGAAAAAUAUUAAUCCUCGGCUCUUUAAUUUAAGCAUGCCACCCACAAGAAAAAAAAAAAAAACAUAUUGGAUGCUUUUUUUUGCUACAUGUGAGUGUAACCAUGAAUACAACUUUUGUUCUAUGCUGUGUGGACAAUGUACAUCCUGUGGUUCCAAGUUUAUUCAAAGCCCAAUGAAUAUUGAUGGCAAUCAAAUGAAGCAUUUAAGAAUAUUGUAAUGAGGUUUGUUUUGCUCAUCCGUUCAACAUGAUGGUGCAGAGAUGGAACAAAAAGAGGGCGUGUGCAUUUUCCUCUGCUUGUGUUUCUCUUCGUUCUCUUUAUUCUAUCUUCAAACCUCUACAACGAGCCAAGUAUUCAGCAAAUUCAUCAAAACCGAGAUCAUAAUGACAGUAACCAGCAUCAAGAUUCGACCACUUCUAAAUUGUAGAGGUUUUGGAUUGAUUCACUACAUGCAGCUCCACUGUAAAGUACAGCGGUCGGAACGCAGGGUGGGUUGAUGGUAAACCGUAGCCAGAUGGUCAGAGAGGAAUUUCAGGGAGGUGCGGCAUGUUUUCUGGAAAAUGGAUCUUUGGCAACACCUCUAAUCCUCUGUACAAAGAGUCUUGUUGUCUGUACAUGUCAAAUCAAUUGGCUUGUCACAAGCAUGGAAUGUAUGAUUUGGGAUACCAAUACUGGAGAUGGCAACCCCAUUACUGCAAUUUGAAGAGGUACUCUGUUUCUGCUAGGCUAAGCCUAGUGAAUAUUAUUUCUUUUGCAGGGUUCGGUUUUUGUUAUUUUACAAUCCAUCUUUUAGGAACCUAUGUCCUCUAUUUGCAGUUAUGUUUUUCUAAUUUUGAUAUGUAUUAACACAUGUGAAGAAAAAAGUUUUUCCAUUUGUGUUCUUGUUGUUUUUUCAGAAUAUGACUUGUGUUGUGCAUAUAAAAGUCAUACAAUACUUUCAUAUUAUGCAAGUUUUCUCCUUGGUUAUGAAUUAUGAUUUGAUUUUAUAUUUUUGGAUCAAAUAUGUUAGUAAUUUUUUCCACCAAUUUCUAUUGGAAAAUUUCAUGAAGAAUUAUUCUAUAAAUCCAAUACAAUUGCAUAUUGUUGAAAAAAAUUAUUGACGGGUUCAAGAUAACUAGUGCAUAUGGAACGAGUUAGCUCACUUGCAUCACACUUCCAACCCAUGCUCUUGUUAGCAUGUUGUUCAUACUUUGUCUUCACUAUUCAGGUUUAGGAUUGAUUUUUCUCCUUUUGCCCUUAAUUGUUUACCCCUUUCAUUUAUUUACUAAAAAUUGUUGUACUUUGUCUAAUGUUUUGAAUUCUCAUUUUCAGUAGAAGAACAACAUACCACUUGAGCAAGGAGCACAUAUUACUAAAUCUAUGAAAUAGUUGGUUAAUUCUCAUCUCUCAAGUUUCUUAAUCUCGGGAAUCUAAAUGCUUUGGAGUGCAAGGAUAAAAGUAGUGGCAUAUCUCCUUCAUUUUUAUUGAGAGGCAAGUUGGUAUGAGGAGAGUACAAAACAAGUAAAGCUAGUAAGACCAUUCUUCCCAUUCCUGCCAUGAUGGAGGAAAAGAGAUGAUGGAGAGAUAACAUCAUUAUCACUAGCAGAACUACAUCAACAACACCCAUUACUUCUGCGAUUUCCUCAUCUUUUUAUUUUCCUUGAGCUGACAUCUAUGUCACUGCAUCUAUAUCUUGAUUGGGAUUUAUAUUUGGAUAACAUUUCUUCCAAAAGAGGAGUCUCAGGAGCUUACUUAUCUUAAUUUGGUAAGUAUGUCACUCUAUGUUUUGUUUGUAUAAUUCUAGAUAUCAAAUUUUAAAUGAUGGUAGAAAUUUAUGUCUUUGUCUCUCUUUUUCUCAUAAUUGAUAUGGAAUAGAUGACCAAUUCAUAGAAAAUUCCUAAGCUCUUUAAUUCUAGCAUGGCAUACUACAUAUUUUAGGUUUGUAAAUCUACCUAUAUUCCUUUUCUAUGGGAUUCAUUUUUCAUAAUUUUACAAUCUAUCUUCUAAAAAUUUUAUAUCAAUUACUAGAUUCUUUGAUACAUUUUCAAAACACUUUCAUAUUAUGCAAAUCCUUUUCAUGGUUAUAAGUCAUGUUUAUAAUUCUUUUGACUAGUUUCUAUUGGAUUAAUUUUUUUGCAUAUUAUUCUAUAUCAGACCAAUACCAAAGGGGAAAUGUCAAGGAUUGGAUGACUGCUUCUUAAUAUGCCAAUAUAUAUAUAUAUAUAUGUUAUGAGUAACCAAUGCAUAUGGAAAGAGUCAGCCAACCAAUUUUAUAUUAAGGCUUUGCAUAUUGUCUAUAUAUAACAUGUCUUCAUUAUUCAGGUUUAGGAUUUAUUCCUCUUUUUAGUUUUUUUUUUUUUUGUGUUUAUUUUCUCUUCUUUAAUUAGCUAAAAAUAGUUAUACUUUGUUUUAAAGGAAGGGUGACAUAAGGAGCAUUAGCAAGGCGAUUCUUCUCAUUCUUGCAAUGAUGGAGAAACUUGAAAGAUAUAUUGAGGAGGUAGUGGCACUACCAAAUAAACAAAAACAUAUUUGUUCUUGCCAUGAUUUCCUUUUCUUUUUAUUCUCCUUGAGCAUCACAUCCAUGCCACUACAUCUACAUCUUAAGGAUCCAUAAUACUAUCUCCCUCAUUUCCUUUCUCUUUCCUGUAUCCCAUUAUAGUCUAUGCAUAUUGAUGGCAUUAAAUGAUCAAAUAUAUGUUCCAAAAAAAAGGUUGUGGUAUAUCAAUUCUCUCUUAAAUUUUGAUAAGCAUAAUGUCAUUGUCUAUUUGUCCAAGCGUAGAUAUUCAAAAUGUAGAUACUAAUGGCGGUGGAAUUUUAUGUCUUAGAGAAUUUUAGCAAGUUAGAGUUUUUUUGGAUGAAGGUAGCAACCAAUUCAAAGGACUUGAGAGGUAGCAUCCAAUAUGUAUUCACUUUACUACAUCGAAGAAUUGAACAUGUUGGGUAUGUGCUCAUUCUUCAACUUAGGUAACAUAGAUGGUAGGUCACAUCACUAAACUUUUUAUUAUUCAUUGUCAAGCUUGAAAUCACUACUAGAGGGAUGUCAAAGGAAGCAGGUGCAAAUUGAUCUAAUGACUUAUCGUGUCUCAAGAACUCCUAUAUAUCUACUAGUCUCAAAUAGCUAAUGCACAAAGGACGUGUUCCCUCUUUUCAAUUCAAGUGCCCUAUCCACAGUGCAUUUUUUUUAGGUUUGCUAUGCCAACUUCUUUUUCUUCCUUUGAUGGUGACUUCAUUUCUUAUUUUACAGUCAAUCUUUUCCAAUUCUUAUUUUACAAGUUAUGUACAGGUGGUGCAUAUGGAAUGAGUCAGCUCGCUCACAUCAUUGUGUAUAUUAUUCAAGUAUGUUGAUCUAACCUCUCUUCCCACCUCUAAAUUCUUUAUAGCUUAGUUCUUCACAACCACUUUCUUAAGAACUGGUAAAGUCUAAAUUUCGAUUCUUGUAUUUCAGUUGUUUAAGGCAAUAGAACAACAAGAAGUUGAGCAAGUGGCUCAUACUACAAAAUUGAAGUGUGUCAUACAAUUUAUUCUCAAAUGCCCUAGACCUAAGCCUUUGUAUAUAGUUCUUAACUCAAAACAAGUAAUAUGAUGUUCAAUAUGGAUGUUCUCUUCUAUGACAUGAGAGUAAUAAUCCCUUGAUCUUUUGUUCUUCUUCUCUUAGGAGGAAUUAUAUUGUCUACCACUAGAGGAAGAAUUUGCUAGAAUGCAAUAUUGUGAGAAUAUAAAAUUUUGUUUAGAGUUUCUUUGUAAUUUCAUUGUAGGAUCAUCUCAUCUCCAAAGUGAAAAAACUCUUGAUUGUAAUUGAAGCAUUCCAUUGUGUACUUAAUGUUGUUAUCUUGAUUGAUUUGAUAGGUUUAUUUCCCAAUUUUUUAGUUCCAACAUAGCAGAACAUUCAUGACUUAUAGAUCUUCUAAUUUGGAAUCUCCUAUGACGUCUGUCAAACUCAUCAAUGAUUUGUUUGUAUCUUAAAAAUUGUUAUAGAUUUUACUUGUUAUGCAGUGGAUUUGUUUGUAUCUUAAAAAUUAAUUCUUGUAUGAUUAUUUGUAGGAAAAAAAAUUGAGCUACAUGCUAGGCCUCAAAGCAAGAAGAAUUAAUCAUUUUGAUAAGGUAUAGAUGGUAAACCUUCAUUUUUUAAUUGUCAUAUUGUUUUUUUUAUGACAAUUAGUGUUACCUUUUAGUUCAUUCUCAUAUUAUUCCUUUAAUAUGGAAAUUGAAAAAUAGAGUGCAUACUUUUUUUGGUAGGUUCAUGUUUUGAAAUAGUGGGAUAAGCCAAUCCAAGAUGAUUGAUCUACAUGUUCAAGAUGUGCUUGAAAGGUGAGUUAUGAGUAUUUUUAUAGUACCAUUUACAUGUCAAUAUAGGAGCUAUCAUUCUUAAACUAACUCAUUUCUUUUUUGUUUAUUGGGGCAUUAUAGCUGUGGAUCAAGUUUAAUCAAACUAUCCUUGGGAAUUAUUUUUGGUGGAAGAUAACAUCAUAUUUUAUAACCUUGUCAUUAAUUGUUGACAUGCAAAAGCUCUUUAGUACAACUUAUGGACCAAGAGAAGGUUUGAUUAAGAGAGGGAGAAUGGAUUCAAAAUUCUCUGUGAUCUCUACUUCUGACACUUUUAGAAGCUUCAAUCAUGCUUCGAUGAACCAUUCGGUUUAUUUAAAGCUUUUGGAAUCUCUUUGCAUACCAUGGAAGUGUAUUUUGCUUCUAAAUAGAAGUAGAAUUCAAAUUCAGUAUCAAUUUUCGUUUACUACAAUUAUUGCUCAAAUCUCUUCACAACCUUUCUAUUACUUGUUCUUUCAUGUUUCUUUAAUGAUAAGGUUGACACGAUUUGUUACUUUGAUGGAAUCAAUUUUGAAUGAAAUAUGAGUAUUCUAUUCUACUCCUUUGGUUUGUUGUACUUUAUCAUCCUUAUGUGGACGUACCCAAGAUUCUUGUGAACCAUUAAUCUAAUGUUUGUUGUUUGUAUUUGAUAUUAAGAUUUGUUUAUAAUUCCUUUUUUUAAUAUUUAUUUAUUUUGUAAUACUUGGUUUAUUUUGAUAUGGGGCUUUUAUGGGGUUUUUGAUCAAAGUGAGAUGCAUGAAAUUUUAAAAUCCAAAUUAGGCAAGAAAAUCAGUUCCUGCAAUAUAUAUGGCAAUGAGAGGCUAUUUUCUCUCGGGAUUGUUGCUUUAUGCAUGGCGUGGAAAUGGAGGAGAUUAUUAAGAGGGAGAGAAGACACAUAAAUGGUGUCUGGGGUUUCUGCCUUGUAGAGAGAGAAAGGGAGAUUUAUGGAGAGAGAAGGUCAACUAGGUUGGGGUUUGAAAUUGAAUUUUGGGCAGGAUCCAAAACGGAUGGUAGAGAUUGGAUCCUGGGUAUCUGACGGUGGAGUUUGGAGUUUGAAUUUGUUUAAUGGGGUGGGAUGUGAGCUUCUCACUUUUGGGCUGGGGUCCAACAGCCCAACUUCUUUUAAAAUAUUUUAAAAAAUAUGACAUUUCAAAAAGUAUUAAGUUAUCUUUUUAAAAGAAUACUUAAAUUUAAAUACUGAAUUUUAAAAUUAUUAUUUUUAAGAAAUAUUUUAAUAAUAUUUAAAUUUAAAUUAAAUCGACACAAGUAAAAAUAUAUUUUACAAACAUGAUUCUACAUUCAUCACUCAUUGUUUAAUAUAAAUAUUAUACAUCUAACUUAACUAUCUAAAAUACUUUAAAUAUAGUUGUUUAAAAAAAUUAUUAUUUAAUAUCAACGAAAAUAAAUAUUAGUUAAAAUCAAUGAGGAUAUAUAUUAGUAAAAAUCAAUAAGAAUAAAUAUGUCAAUUUUAUUAUUUAGAAUAAAUGUUAAAUUAACUUUAUUUAACAUUAUUAAUGCAUAAAAUAAAAAACAAAUAAUAAAUUUGAAAUCAUUAUUUAAGAACAAUUUAAUUAAAUUCUACUUAAAUUAUUAAAUAAUAAAUAUUAUGUUUACCAAAUGCUCUUUUAGUAUAAUAAAAAUAGAGAUUUAGGAGUCAAUCCCUUUUUACUACAUGAUAAUUGGGUUAACCAUCACUUUUUUGCAAGCCACUUUUUGAUAUUAUAUUUUUCAGAUACAAAAUGAUUAAAAAAAAACCUAAAAACAGAAAGGAAAAAGAUGCUUUGUACAAGAUUCGUUAUGGUUAAAGUACAAGUAAAUAAAUAAAUAAGAUUACAUCACCAUCGAGUCACAUGUUUAUGUUGUUGGUAAAAAAAAAAAUAUUAAUUAUAUUCAAAUGAUUAAAAAAAACUCCACCGGCCAACCCAAGUUGGUUUAUAUUAUUGAAACAAUACUCCGUUUAGUCUAUAUUAGAAUCCAAUUUUUGUUUAAAUUUUUAAUGAAAAUAAAAUUUGUAUCAUAUCAUUAACAUCACCGCUAAAUACCCAACAAAAAUAUAUAGAUAAAGGCUUAUUUCAUUGAACUUCAAUAUUUAAAAAUAUAUUAUAUUUAAUAUUAAAAAUGAGAUUUAGAGAGUGUUUAGUAAAUCAAUAUAAUGAAUUAAUAUGACUUAACUUAUUCUUAUUCUUAUAUCUUUUUGUUGUCUUAUUUACCAACAUUGGUGAGAGUAUAUUUGACAAUCACGAUUCUACAUCCACGACACAUUUUUUAUAAUAAAUAUUAUACAAUUAAUUUAUGUAUCUAUAACACUUUAAAUAUAAGUGUUUAAAAAAAUAAAAUUAUUAUUUAAAAUUAAUAAAAAUAAAUAUUAGCUAAAAUCAAUGAAGACAAAUAUUAGUCAAAAUUAAUAAUAGUAAAUAUAUAAAUUUCAAUAUUUAGAAUAAAUAUUAAAUUAAUUUUAUCAAACAAUAUUAAUACUUCAAAUAAAAACCUAGCAAUGAAUUUUAAAUCAAUAUUUAAAAAUAAUUUAACUUAAAAUCCACUUAAAUUAUUAAAUAAUAAAUAUUAUAUUUUACCAAAUGCCCUUUUAGUAUGAUAAAAAAAGGAUUUAGGAUUUAGAUACAAAUAAAUAAAUCCCUUUUUACUAAAUGAUAGUAGGGAUUAACAUUCAAAUAAAUAAAAUCCCCUUUUAUGCCACUUUUUGAUACUAUAUUUUUAUACAAAAUGUACAAAAGAAAAAAGAUAAGAAAAAAAUGCUUUGUAAGAUAUUAAUUAUGGGCAAAUUACAAGUAAAUAAGAUUAAGAUUACAUCCCAAUUAAACGACAUGGAUAGGCUGUUGGUCAAAAAAUUAAUUCUAUUCAAAUGAAUAAAAAAGCUCCACCGGCCAUCCCAAGUUGAUUUAUAUUAUUGAAACAAUAAUAUACUAAGCAUAUACAAUUCAAUAAUUCAACCAACAUCAUCUUCAUCACCUAACCCACUUCAAAUAAAUAUUGGGUUCAGUUUUAAUUGUCUACACCUUUUAAUCAAAGAUUACAAAACUUGGACAGCAAAUGGUGUCUUUUAUAAAUGUCUUCCAACAACUUAUCCAACUUUUAAUCAAAGAUUACAAAAAAUUUUAAUUGAAGUUUUGUGGAAUGUUGGAUCCAGACAAAGAGUUAACAACCAUGAAUAGUACCAAUGAGUUCAAUUUCAAAUAAGCAUGGGGCCUCCACCUCAAUGUCACCACAUGUUUGAAUAAAAAUCAUAAAAACGUUCAUAUCAACUCAACAUACAUAAUUCAAUUAUUCAACCAACAUUAUCACCCUACUUUAAAAAAACAAUAAAAAAUGAUUAGAUUGUGAUUCUUCAAAAUCUAACCCUUUUUAAAAGGUAAGAGUCUAGGAAAAUGAGUAUAGCUCUUUGAAUACCCCCUCUUCAUGUUGUUUGUCUAUAUUGCUUUCUUUCUCCAUUAUCUUAUAAAUUCCAAAAAAAAACUAUUGGACCAAGUGAUGUCGGAUGGGACUAUAACACAAUAUUUUUCUUAUGACCCGAAAGCAUGGUCUUGGCACCAAUCAUGGCGGAAGGGACUAGAGCGCAAGGACAAAGAAGAUUUGAAGAUAUUGUUAAGCAGUUGUUGGAUUCAUCGAAUAAAUAAGUGGCCACUUUAUCGUAGUUACAAAAUUCAUUAAAUAAACAAGAAGCUAUUUUAUCAACUUCGAUUAUAGCAAUAAAUCUGAAAUUCGAACAUAUGACCCUAUUCAAUUUUAAAAAGUACAUAUAAACAAUUGUGAUAUACAUAAUAGAUAAGAGUAUGUCAGAUUUGAUUAUUCUUAAUAUGUAAAGAAAUACAAUGAUAUAUAAGGCAUAACAAGUCUUUUACUAGGGUAGCUAAGGCUUUAUAUACAUGAAACCAUGCAAGAAAUCCAUAGACCAUUCAAAUAUAAAAAUUAUGAUAAUUAAGAUUAUGUAUGAUUCUUAGAAAAUAUUAAGAAAAAAAAAUUAUAAGAAAAAUUAUUAUUUUAUGUUUGGAUGUUGUGGAAAAUGUGAGGAAAAAGUAUUAUGGAAAAAAAUUAGAGGAAAAUGCUAAAAGCUUUUUCUCCCCAAUUCCCUUAUAUAAAAGUGAAUAAAGUUAAGGUUGGAGAAAGUAUACUCCUCCGAUAAUUUAAUUUUCUUUCUCUUAACUUUUUCAUAGACAUUCCAAUAAGAGAAAAUUAAUAUUUAUAAAUUUUUGUGAAUUAUAUUUGUUAUAUAGAAAAUUUGUCGUCUGGGUUUUUCCCACUGUGUGGCCACGUUGUGUUAGAUUUGUAAUUCUGUUGUUUUGUUCAUCUCAAUUGGGAUUUAGGAGAGAGUAAAAAAGAAAAAUCAAUCAAAUGGAGGAGAGAGAGCGAGAGAGAGAGAGAGAGAGUGCGAGAUAGCUAGAGUGAGGGAGUCUGAGUGCGAGGAAGGAGAGCGAGGGGGGCUGCAAUCGAAGGAGAGCGAAGGCGAAGAGCGAGGGCCUUUGCGUCCGAAGGAUAUCGACGAAGGAAAGAGAGGAUUUCUAUGGCUGAAUGGGAACGGGGGAGAAGAUCGAGGGCGCUCGAGCCGGAGUGAAAGUCUAGAGGGAGCUGAUCUCUUGGGGCACCGGGAUAACCCUAGGAAGAACAGGUUCAGUGUCUAAUCGAAGACCUUUGAGAUCGAGGUGGAAGUAAAAAAGGGCAAAACGCAGCUUGUGGUUUUGGAGAGGAAAAGAGGGACCUCGUCGUGGGUACGGAUGGGAAUAGAGAGCCUAGGGUUUUUUCUGGAAGGUUUGGUCCAUUGCUGUAAAGACUCGAAUGGUGGGAAAUGGAGAAGAAACUGGAAGGAAAAUGGAAGGGCCUACUCUAUGGUACGAGAUGAGAAUAGAGGCGGGUGCUACAUCAGAUUAGGAGUGGUGGAUAUGGAGAACAAAAAUGCUAGUAUUUUUAUCCCCAAAGGGAGAGGAGCAGUGGGGGGCUGGACCUCAAUGAUUGAGUCGCUAAGGCGUCUGAGUAUUGUUAAGAAAGGGGAUGAGGGCAAGAAGACUGAGGAGAUGUUGUUGAAGCCUAUCACGACGAAAACUUUUGCGGAGGUGAUUAAACAGCCGAUGAGAAAAGAUCAUGCAGCAAUCAAGGUGGCGGUUAGAGAGAAGGAGAUAAGUAGAAAUAUGGAAAAACUGGGUCAUUGUUUGGUUGCGUCUUGGAACCCUAGAUCUGGGAGAGGGGACGACCUGAAGGCCUGGGGAACCCUAUUGGCAAAAGAUUGGGAACUGAAGGGUAAUCUGGGCAUUGCAAAGCUGGAAAGGGGAAAGAUUUUGUUGGAGUUUGAAAGAUUGGAAAAAGCGAAGAGAGCUCUAGGUCUCGGAAGCAUUACAGCAAGGGGGAUUUAUCUCCGUCUGGAAAAAUGGAGGCCAGCGACAGGGUGCAUGCUAGAAGGGGAAAAAAGGCGUGAGGCAUGGGUGAGAAUUGUGGGCCUCCCUGUCUCUCUUUGGGAUCAGGCCAUCCUGAGAAGGAUUGGUGAGGAGUGUGGGGGGUUUCUAGCAAUCGAUUCCCAAACAGAGAAGCUAGAAGAGCUACAGUGGGCGCGGAUCCUGGUAAAGACGAAUGAAGAAGAACUACCCAAUGUGGUAGAAGUUUGGAUUGAAGAUCUGUGCUAUGCGCUAACCCUUUGGUGGGAGGUCAGGCCGGUCUUGAAGGUAGGGUCGGCAGGGCUGAGAGGGUUGAAGAAUGCUGCAGUGGUCGAGGUUAGGGGUGAGGCUUGUGCACCCGCGAAGAAGUGCGUGAUGGAGAUGGAGGGUGUCACUAGGAUCGAGACGCUGUAGCAGCUGGUAGAUGGGACAAGGAGCCAAUCUGGUGGGUCGGAGCGUCUGGUGGAGCCCCGUUUGGGUGGGCUGAACGAGAGGGGCCCCGCUAAAGUCUUUCGGAAUACUGAAUUGAAUUCUAGGCCUCCUGGGCCUGAUCCAAAUGCUUUCGUGGCUGGGCCGUCGCGGGGUGGGUCGUCUGGGCUAUUGGGUGAUGGAUCACAUGCUGUUGGGCUGCUACCGAGGGAGGAUGUGGAACGGGCCAAGCCAAUUUUGCAAUCAGUAGUGUCUGGGCUGGGCUAUAAAGAUUUAGGCCUGUCUAGAGAGGCUUGCUUGUUGGGCUGGACUGGCCCACGACUGCUGAAAGGGCCAGAUGCAGGCAUUUCCUCUUUCUGGUUGAAGAGCAAGGAGGAGAUGGAGGAUCCAAGCCUUGCGGAGAGUCCAAAGACUGAUGGUGCCCUAAUGGAAGAAGCUCAGAGGUAUGGAAACACAUCUAGUCUUGGUGGAUUAUUGGUCCCCGCUGCUUUCUUUUCCCCUCCUCUUUUUUCUGGUCGGACCCCUUUGGGUUAUUACGACUUCUCUGGUGUUGGUUGGGAGGUAGCCCAGAGAGAAUCCCAGGGCUGCAUUGUCAAUGGCUUAGGGUUUAUGGAGCAAAGGGCAGUAGCCAAUUGGGAGUUGAUGGAGGCCAGCAAUGGCAGUAAUGGAGAAGGUGGAGAGGAGCUACGUCUGACCCGUACAGAGACACAGGAAGACAAAGGAUGGGAAGAGGUUGAUUGGGAAGAUAGUGAAUUGGCCAGGUUUAGCAAAUUUCUGGGGUUUUCGACAAAAGGAUUGGAAAAGGAUAUCUUGGACUUUUUGGUUAAGAUCAGAAAAAGGAGGGAAAAAGUCCAUAGUAAACUUCUUUUGGACAAAUCGAAGUUUGAACGGGAGCUGAAAAGAUUAGAAUGCUCCAUUAAUUACGAGAGGGGGAAGAAGCUGAGGAAUGGUAUGCAAGAAAGAGGGGAUCAAAUGUUGGUAAUCCAAUGAAGUUAAGACUGUUAAGUUGGAACGUGCGGGAAGCUAAUGAUAGCUCCAAAAGAAAGGUGAUUAAGGCCAUGAUUAGGAGUCAAAGGGUGGACUUGUUUUGUCUCCAGGAGACAAAAAUUCAAUCAAUGGCUGAGGGAAUGGUUAGGAGUCUAGGCACUGGGAGGUUUCUGGAAUGGGGUGCUUUGGAUGCUCAUGGCUCUGCAGGUGGUGUGCUGAUUUGUUGGGAUAAAAAAACCUGGGAAAUGAUUGAGAUGGAAGUGGGUCAGUUCUCUAUUUCCUGUAGGCUAAGGAAUAUGGAGGAUGGGUUUGUUUGGAUCUUCACAGGUGUUUAUGGGCCGUUUUCUAGGGAGGAUAGGGAGGCUUUUUGGGAAGAGUUAGGGGCAAUUAGAGGCAUAUGGAGUGACCCGUGGUGUAUAGGGGGCGAUUUUAAUGUCGUCCUGUCUCAAAGAGAAAGGAGCAGUCAAGGAAGGAUAAGUGGUGCAAUGAGAAGAUUCGCCCAGACAGUAGAUGAUUUAGAGCUUCUAGAUAUUCCGUUGCAAGGUGGUGUGUUCUCAUGGAGUGGGGGCAAAAAUAACCAAGCAUGGGCAAGAUUGGAUAGAUUCCUUGUGACCCAGUGCUGGCUGGAUAAGUUUUGUGGGGUUGUUCAAUGUAGGUUGUCGAGGCCCACAUCUGAUCACUUUCCUAUUAUGCUGAAGGGUGGAGGGUUAAGACGAGGCCCAUCUCCGUUUAGGUUUGAAAAUAUGUGGCUGAAAGUAGAUGGCUUUAAGGACCUCCUUCGGGAAUGGUGGCAGGGGACUGUGGUGAGGGGGAAGGCCAAUUUUAGAUUGGCCUCUAAGCUGAAGGUGAUGAAACAGAAAAUCAAAGAGUGGAAUAGGGAGGUGUUUGGCAGACUAGAAGUUAACAAGAACUUGGCUCUCCAGCAGGUUGAGUUCUGGGACAGGGUGGAAAGUGAUAGGAGCCUGUCAGUAAGCGAAACGGAAAUGAAAAAGGGAGCUAAGGAAACUUUCAAAAAGUGGGUUCUUCUGGAAGAAACACACUGGAGACAAGUGUCAAGGGAGUUGUGGUUGAAGGAAGGGGACAAAAACACAGGCUUCUUCCAUCGGAUGGCCAAUGCCCAUCGUAGAAAUAAUUGCCUGGACAAAGUCAAAAUCAAUGGGGUGUGGAAGGCUGAGGAGCAGGAGGUAAGGGAGGGGAUUGUGCAAAAUUUCCAACAACUUCUCAUUGAAGAGCCAAGUUGGAGAGCGGAUAUUGAGGGGCUGCACCUCCCUUGCCUAAACUCUUGUGAGGCCGAAGGUUUGGAGGUGCCUUUCACUAUGGAAGAGAUCCACUCUGCUUUGAUGGACACGAAUGGUGACAAAGCUCCUGGACCAGACGAGUUUAUAGGGGCUUUUUGGCAAACAUGUUGGGAAUUUGUGAAGGAGGAGAUCAUGGAUCUGUUCAAGGAGUUCUUUGUGCAAAAAUCUUUUGCAAAAAGUCUCAACACCACUUUCUUGGUUCUUAUUCCUAAGAAAGGGGGAGCGGAGGAUCUUGGGGAGUUCCGACCUAUUAGUUUGUUAGGGGGACUGUACAAGCUUGUGGCCAAGGUGUUGGCAAAUAGAUUGAAGAAGGUCCUUGGAAAGGUGGUUUCAAUGGACCAGAACGCCUUUGUGAGGGGGAGACAGAUCUUGGAUGCCUCUCUUAUAGCUAAUGAGGUGGUUGACUUCUGGUACAAGCGUAAGGAGAAGGGGUUGAUCUGUAAACUGGACAUCGAAAAAGCAUAUGACAGCAUCAACUGGAAUUUCCUUAUGAAGGUCUUACAAAAGAUGGGAUUUGGGACUCGGUGGAUGGAGUGGAUUUGGUGGUGCAUUUCAACUGCCAAAUUUUCUAUUUUGGUAAAUGGGGUACCAGCAAGUUUUUUCCCAAGUUCCAAGGGGCUGCGUCAGGGUGAUCCUCUAUCUCCCUAUCUCUUUGUCAUGGGUAUGGAAGUGUUAAGUGCUCUCAUAAAAAGGGCUGUUGGGGGAGGGUUCGUCUCAGGGUGCAGCCUUAGGGGGAGAGGAGGGCUGGUGAUGGAGGUCUCUCAUCUACUAUUUGCGGAUGACACAAUCAUCUUUUGUGAAGCUAAGAAAGAGUAUCUAACCUCUUUAAAUUGGAUUUUGGCUUGGUUUGAGGCGGCGUCUGGUCUAAGAAUAAACCUAGCUAAAAGCGAGCUAAUCCCUAUUGGGGAGGUUGAAGAAAUUGAGGAAAUGGCUGUGGAGCUUGGGUGCAAAGUGGGAGCUCUUCCCUCAGUUUAUUUGGGGCUGCCUCUUGGAGCCCAUCACAAGGCCAUAUCUAUGUGGGAUGGGGUGGAAGAAAGAAUGAGGAGAAGAUUAGUCCUUUGGAAAAGACAAUACAUUUCUAAGGGCGGGAGAAUCACCCUCAUCAAGAGCACCUUGGCCAGCAUUCCAAUUUAUCAAUUGUCCCUUUUUCGGAUGCCAAAGUUAGUAGCGAAAAGGCUUGAAAAGUUACAAAGAGAUUUUCUUUGGGGAGGGAGGAGAAUGGAAAGGAAAAUUCACCUCAUCAACUGAGAGGUGGUGUGCACUCAAAAAGUGAAUGGAGGGCUUGGCAUUCGGAAGAUUGAUCUCCUUAACAAAGCCUUAUUGAGCAAGUGGAUUUGGAGGUUUGCCUUUGAAGAGGAUAUUCUUUGGAAGAAAGUGAUUGGGGUGAAAUAUGGUCAAGAAGGUCUUGGUUGGUGAACAAAUGAAGCUCGUGGAGCCUUUGGGGUUUGGAAGGAGAUUUUGAAGGAGGCAAAUUGGUGUUGGGAUAACAUUAGGUUUAAGGUGGGCAAGGGGACUAGGGUAAAUUUUUGGACUGAUCAUUGGUGUGGUGAUGAGGCGCUGUCCAGAAUUUUCCCUCAAUUAUUUGCUUUGGCGGUGCACAAAAAUGCAACUAUCAGUGAGGUUUGGGACUCUAGCCUUGGUCAAGGAGGUUGGAACCUCAGAUUUGCUAGGGAUUCAAAUGAUUGGGAGCUGGAUUUAAUAGAAGCUUUGUUUAACAUGCUGAGGGAUUUCAAGAUUUCCCAAGAAGAGGAUUCGGUGGUUUGGAGAGGCGGAGGUCAAGGUAUUUUUGGAGUCAGAUGUGCUUAUAACCUGCUGGCUGCUCCUAACUCCCUUGAUUUCCCGGUUAGAUGCAUUUGGGUGGACAAGGUCCCUACUAAAGCUGUUUUUUUUGCUUGGGAAGCUACAUGGGGGAAGAUCCUUACGUUGGAUAGGCUCUAAAGAAGAGGGUGGCAGCUUCCUAAUUGCUGUUUUUUGUGUGGUUGUGAAGAGGAAAAUGUAAAUCACAUUCUUUUACACUGUACAAUGGCUAGGGUUCUUUGGGAUAUUAUCCUUGCCUUGUUUGGGGUUCAUUGGGUGUUCCCAGAGACGGUCAUAGAGUUGUUACGUAGUUGGAGGGGCUCCUUUGUGGGGAAAAAGAGGAAAAAAAUCUGGAAUUCCAUACCGGUGUGUAUUUUUUGGACGGUUUGGAAGGAGAGAAAUAGAUUAGCCUUUAGAGGGGGUUCUUUAGACAUACAGAAACUCAAAAAUUAUUUUGUUUGUAACUUGUGGAGUUGGGCUAGAGUAUACAUGGGAGAGGAGUCCUCUUCGCUUUUACUCUUUUUGGAGUGGCUCGCGGCUACUUAAGGGCCGUUGAGGCUGCUUGUCUCUUUUGUUUUUUGGGGGGUGGCUGAGUUUGUAUACAUCCUGUAUGCUUUUGGCAAUGUUGCCCUUUAAUACAAGUUGUGCUUAUUUAUAAAAAAAAAAAUAUUUAUAAAUUUUUGUAAAUGUAUUUAAAGGAAAUAAUUUAUUUUUUAUGUAUCAGUUCCAACUCAUUUUACUUAUUUUAACUUUUUUAUAUCAAAAAUAAAUAAUUUAAAAAUACAUUAAUUUCUAACUAAUUUUAAUUAUAUUUAAUUUUCUUUUAUAUUUUCUACCAUAAAACUAAAUAUGAGAAAAUUAUUUUUCUUAUUUUUUUUUUCUUUCAUUAAUACUUUCCAAUAACCAAACAUACUCUUAAGGUUGAUGGAGAAGAACAAUGUGGGUAACUAAAAGCAUUUAAAAUUAAAGUUAAAACCAUAAUAUCAACAUAUACAAUUUUUGAUAGUGCAUAACUUUGAUAAAAUAUUAAAACAACUUUCUAUGUAAGCUAAAAAAGACGAUCGUGUGAAUGGUAAACAUGAUUAUUUCUUACUAAUUCCUAAGAAGGGUUCACGUAGAUGUUAGAAUCCAAAUUUUGUUUAAAUUUUCAAUGCCCAUCCUUUUUGAAAGGUACUUUUAAUAUAAUCCUUUUUUGGUAAUGGAAAAAAUAUGUUAUUAAAAAAAAUUACAAGAUUUAUAAAAUUUAAAAAUGUUUAUGCCUAUUGCACCUCACUGAUCAUCUCCUUUCUAAGCUCCAACCAAAUUGGUAUUGAAGAAAAUACAAUUGACAUUCUAACAAGAUUCUCUCCUUCCAAAGCUCUUCAUUCUUGAUGCUUUUAACUAGUCAUUUUGCAUUAAUAUUUAAAGUAGCAAAAUAUUGAAAAAAAAUAUAUAUAAAUCUAAGUUUCCAAACCUAAUUUAACUAUUAUUUUUACGAACAUUGCUUUUAAAGAAGUUUCCUUCCAAAAUAGAAAAAUUAUUUUAUAAACGUGUUAUUAGCCCUAAUGAUACUAUCAAAUACUAAUAAUUGGAUUUUAGAUAUUAAUAUAAAAAAAAAAAAAUUCAUCUUAUUUCAAAUUUGAAAAUUUUCAAUAAAACUUUGAAGAAUGAUAAUAGAUGAAAAUAAAAUUUGUAUCAUAUAAUUAGUAUCACCGAUAAAAACCCAGCAAUAAUGUAUAGAUAAAGGUUUAUUUCAUUGAACUUCAAUAUUUAAAAAUAUAUUAUAUUUAAUAUUAAAAAUGACACUUAAAGAGUAUUUAGUAAAUCAAUUUAAUGGUUUAAUAUAACUUAUUAUUGAUUUAUUAAAAAUUAAUUCUAUUCAAAUGUAUAAAAAACUCGGCCGGCAACCCCAAGUUGAUUUAUAUUAUUGAAAUAAUUCUAUUCAAAUGUAUAAAAAACUCGGCUUAGGCAAGACCAACCUUGCUCAGUUGGUAUACAACGACCAAGGGGUGGUAAGCUAUUUUAAUCUUAAAAUGUGGGUUUGUGUUUCGGACGAUUUCGAUG